UACGGAGGGUGCUAGCGUUGUUCGGAAUUACUGGGCGUAAAGCGCGUGUAGGCGGCCGAUUAAGUCUGGUGUGAAAGCCCGGGGCUCACCCGCGGAAGGGCGCUGGAAACUGGUCGGCUAGAGUAUGGGAGAGGAAAGUGGAAUUCCCGGUGUAGCGGUGAAAUGCGUAGAGAUGUGGAGGAAUACCGAUGGCGAAGGCAGCCCCCUGGGCCAAUACUGACGCUCAUGCACGAAAGCGUGGGGAGCAAACAGG
rnacentral:rRNA from 1 species